AUUGAACGCUGGCGGCAUGCCUUACACAUGCAAGUCGAACGGCAGCACGGAGCUUGCUCUGGUGGCGAGUGGCGAACGGGUGAGUAAUAUAUCGGAACGUACCCUGGAGUGGGGGAUAACGUAGCGAAAGUUACGCUAAUACCGCAUACGAUCUAAGGAUGAAAGUGGGGGACCGCCUUGGCGGCCUCAUGCUCCUGGAGCGGCCGAUAUCUGAUUAGCUAGUUGGUAGGGUAAAGCCUACCAAGGCAUCGAUCAGUAGCUGGUCUGAGAGGACGACCAGCCACACUGGAACUGAGACACGGUCCAGACUCCUACGGGAGGCAGCAGUGGGGAAUUUUGGACAAUGGGGGCAACCCUGAUCCAGCAAUGCCGCGUGAGUGAAGAA
rnacentral:rRNA from 1 species